AAAAACAUAGCCUUUAGCCAAACAAGUAUUAAAGGUGCCGCCUGCCCAGUGAUCUUCUUAAACGGCCGCGGUAUCCUAACCGUGCAAAGGUAGCGUAAUCAUUUGUCUCUUAAAUAGAGACUUGUAUGAACGGCUAACUGAGGGCCCAACUGUCUCCUUAGACCAAUCAAUGAAACUGAUCUUUCAGUACAAAAGCUGAAAUACACCCAUAAGACGAGAAGACCCUGUGGAGCUUUAAAAUGAAGCCAUCUAUUUCCAUCCAAACGAACACAACAAACCCAUAAAACAUGGCAAAAUUUUUCAGUUGGGGCGACUUUGGAGCAAAACAGAACCUCCAAGCCAGGGACCUCCCCUAUAAAGGCCCACCCGCCAAAAUAAUACUAUUUUGACCCAGUCCACCUGAACAACGAACCAAGUUACCCCAGGGAUAACAGCGCCAUCCUCUUUAAGAGUCCAUAUCGACAAGAGGGUUUACGACCUCAAUGUUGGAUCAGGACAUCCUCAAGGUGCAGCAGCUACUAAGGGUUCGUUUGUUCAACGAUUAAAGU
rnacentral:rRNA from 1 species